CAGCCGCGGUAAUACAGAGGGUGCGAGCGUUAAUCGGAUUUACUGGGCGUAAAGCGUGCGUAGGCGGCUUCUUAAGUCGGAUGUGAAAUCCCUGAGCUUAACUUAGGAAUUGCAUUCGAUACUGGGAAGCUAGAGUAUUGGAGAGGAUGGUAGAAUUCCAGGUGUAGCGGUGAAAUGCGUAGAGAUCUGGAGGAAUACCGAUGGCGAAGGCAGCCAUCUGGCCUAAUACUGACGCUGAGGUACGAAAGCAUGGGGAGCAAACAGGAUUAGAUACCCCUGUAGUCCCUGUCUCUUAUACACA
rnacentral:rRNA from 1 species